AUGCUUAAUACUAGGAGAUAGCUUGUAAAACUUGGAUGGCAACCACUGAAACAAAAAAGCAAACCAAGGAAAUGUUUGAAGGCGGAGAAUAUUAAUGAUUAGUAACUGAUAUAAGUAAACAGAAUUUGUUAUGGCUCAGCAGGUGGCCUAUCAGUAAACAGAAUUUGUUAUGGCUCGGCAGGUGGCCUAUAGAAUGCUUACCAUACUCCAAUGAUUGAUGUAACUGGGCCUAAUCGAAACAAUAAAAGAAGGGUUUUGCGAUCUGAAAGCAUUCGCUCUGUCAAGAGCUGUAGCUUUUCCAGUUCGAUUGCUAGAUGUGCCUCCAC
rnacentral:lncRNA from 1 species